UAAGGAAUAUUGGACAAUGGAGGAAACUCUGAUCCAGCCAUGCCGCGUGCAGGAAGAAUGCCUUAUGGGUUGUAAACUGCUUUUAUACAGGAAGAAAACUUGGUAUGUAUACCAACUUGACGGUACUGUAAGAAUAAGGAUCGGCUAACUCCGUGCCAGCAGCCGCGGUAAUACGGAGGAUCCAAGCGUUAUCCGGAAUCAUUGGGUUUAAAGGGUCCGCAGGCGGUUUAAUAAGUCAGAGGUGAAAUCCUACAGCUCAACUGUAGAAUUGCCUUUGAUACUGUUAGACUUGAGUUAUUGUGAAGUAAUUAGAAUGUGUAGUGUAGCGGUGAAAUGCAUAGAUAUUACACAGAAUACCGAUUGCGAAAGCAGAUUACUAACAAUAUACUGACGCUGAGGGACGAAAGCGUGGGUAGCGAACAGG
rnacentral:rRNA from 1 species